AGUGAAUGUCUUCUCCGGUCCA
rnacentral:sRNA from 1 species